rnacentral:rRNA from 1 species
CGCCUCUUGAUUGAACCAUAAGAGGUCCAGCCUGCCCAGUGACAUUGUUCAACGGCCGCGGUAUCCUAACCGUGCGAAGGUAGCGUAAUCACUUGUCCCUUAAAUGGGGACUAGUAUGAAUGGCCCCACGAAAGCUAUACUGUCUCCUUUUUCCAAUCAGUUAAACUAAUCUUCCCGUGAAGAAGCGGGAAUAAACAUGCAAGACGAGAAGACCCUAUGGAGCUUUAAACAAUUGAAACACUUGCACUUUAUUUUUAAACCUACAUUAAACCUCACAUUUUGUUUCUAGUUUUAGGUUGGGGUGACCGCGGAGAAAAAACUAACCUCCACGUUGAAAGAGAUUUUUCCUCUAAACAAAAAGCUACAUCUUUAUGUAUUAACAUAUUAACCUUAAUUGACCCAAUUUAUUGAUCAACGAACCAAGUUACCCUAGGGAUAACAGCGCAAUCCAUUUCAAGAGCCCUUAUCGACAAAUGGGUUUACGACCUCGAUGUUGGAUCAGGGUAUCCAAGUGGUGCAGCCGCUACUAAUGGUUCGUUUGUUCAACGAUUAAAACCCU